GACAGAGGAUGCAAGCGUUAUCCGGAAUGAUUGGGCGUAAAGGCGUCUGUAGGUGGCUUUUUAAGUCCGCCGUCAAAUCCCAGGGCUCAACCCUGGACAGGCGGUGGAAACUACCAAGCUGGAGUACGGUAGGGGCAGAGGGAAUUUCCGGUGGAGCGGUGAAAUGCGUAGAGAUCGGAAAGAACACCAACGGCGAAGGCAGGUCUCUGGGCCACUACUGACGCUGAGAAGCGAAAGCAUGGGGAGCGAACAGG
rnacentral:rRNA from 1 species